rnacentral:rRNA from 1 species
CUACGUGCCAGCAGCCGCGGUAAUACGGAAGGUCCGGGCGUUAUCCGGAAUUAUUGGGUUUAAAGGGAGCGCAGGCGGGAGUGUAAGUCAGCUGUUAAAUAUCAGGGCCCAACUCUGUUAUGCAGUUGAAACUAUAUUUCUUGAGUACGCACAGGGAUGGCGGAAUUCAGGGUGUAGCGGUGAAAUGCUUAGAUAUCCUGAAGAACUCCGAUCGCGAAGGCAGCCAUCCGGAGCGUAACUGACGCUGAGGCUCGAAGGUGCGGGUAUCAAACAGGAUUAGAUACCCUGGUAGUCCGCACGGUAAACGAUGAAUACUCGCAGUUCGGUCAUUAUGGUCGAGUUGUCCAGCGAAAGCGUUAAGUAUUCCACCUGGGGAGUACGCCGGCAACGGUGAAACUCAAAGGAAUUGACGGGGGCCCGCACAAGCGGAGGAACAUGUGGUUUAAUUCGAUGAUACGCGAGGAACCUUACCCGGGCUUGAAC